CAUUGUAACCUUAAAGAAAUAUCUGUUUCAAUACCUAUAGAUUAAUGACAUUUUAAAUGGCUGCAUAUAUCCCUGUAUGUAUCAUAUAGUAUCAUAACUAAUUGAUCAAAUCACUAUUAAUGGACAGUUAUGCUGUUUUUCACAAUGUACCCAACAAUACCUCACUGAGCAACCUUGACUAUUAUUUGCCUAAAUAUUUUUUAAAGAAUAGAUUCCUACAAAUGAAAUUUGUGUGACAAUGUAGAUAGGUAAAAGUUUUUAUUCAGUUUCCUAAAGUGCUCUCCAGAAACAAAUAAAAUUGAGACGUGUAUCAAUAAUUCAUGAACAUGACCAAUCCUUCACAUGUGUACUAAUUGUUUUCAAAUGCAUACUAAUUCUUUACAUUUUUGCAAAUCUGAAUUUUAGCUUUUUAAAUUAUUAGUGAGUAUAUUUCCAGAAUAUGUUGGCUAUUUGCACUUCCUUGGUGAAUUGCCUUUACAACUUCCUAUGCUAUUUUUAUAUUGUGAUUGCUGGCUAGAUUUUUGUUUCUUACUGAUAUGUGAGAAUUAAUUGUAUGUUAAAGAUAGCAAUACUCUGUCUUAAGUUGCCAGUGGUUUUCUAGGGUGUUGUUUGAUUUUUGACUUUCUGUAUUUUUUUCUUUCCUUUCCUACAAAACUUUUCAUUUUACUCUACCCAAUCUUUCCUUUAUGACUUAUAAUAUUGGAACCAUGGUAAAAAAAGAAAAAAAGAAAAAUUCUGUCUUAGUUCAUUAUUAAAAGAAUGUUGAUUAAGAACAUGUGUUUAUGCUUUGGAGCAUAUUUUUAAUUGUUAUAAAAUUUUAAAAUGUAAACUGUUUUCAGGAAACCCCUUAACCUACUUAUGUAUUGUUUAAAGAGGAUUAAAAAGUGCUUUGUAUUUUUUACCUUCUUAAAAUUAUUUAUUUUAUAUCAAUAUAGAUGUUAAAAACAAUUACACACUGAUCAUAUGAACAUAAGUAUUUUGUUCUUAAUAUUUUUUUCCACCAGAAGAAACUGAAUUAUCCAUUUGUUACUGAAAAAAAUGAGCAGUUUUUAAAAGAGGCAAAAUUAAUAUUUUAUUAAAUGGGAAAAUUUCUGUAUACAAUGCACUUUGUUGAGAUGAAUAGAAUUAUACAUUAUUGCUGGCAAAGAAAAGAUCAAGAUGAUGUUAUGUAAAUUUACAUUAGUACUUAACAGUUGCUAUAGAAUCAUGAAUCCAACAGACUUAUUUGUGUUUAUUAGUGACUUUAAAUUAGAUUCUUCAGUUUUUGUUGAAAGGCAUAGUCCAAGUAUUGCAGAUUAAUGGGUGCCCUGAACCUAGAAUUCCAUGUUUCUUCUUCCUUAUCUCUCAUGUGGAAGGACAGAGGAGACCAGGUAUCUCCAAGAAUUGUCUGUUUUUUUAAUCCCUAUCCCAAAAACAUGUUUUCUAAUGAAAGGACAGGAAUGGUGCAUAGAACUUUUAGGGAAGUGGGCCAAAGAAGGCUGAAAAUUAGUGAACAGUCAUGAUGUGGGGCUGAGCACUCUACCUGUGUGAGCUCUCCUUGCCCCCUGAGCUCCUCUGGGUCCCUGAGUCCAGCCACUUUCAUUGGAUGGCACUCAGCUACUGCCACGGGGCACGCUAGCAGAGCACCAGCUAGCGGCGACUGGUGACCUGGCUUCUUGGAGCCUUCACUGGAAAAUAAACUGAGCACACAAUGGGCAAUCUUUUGAAUUCCAUUCCAAAGAAUUAUAUUUACAGAGCUGAGGUAGAGUACUCAACAGGGUGGGGCUGAAGAGCCCUGAAUUAGCCACAUCGAUCCACGCAAGUGAUGGCUAUGUUCCCCACUGAAGAGGAAAGCCUUACAGAGUGAAGGGCUUUAUCUUCUAUUUAAAAACUCUAUGGGCAAAUUCAUCAGGCUAUCUGACAGGUAAAUUAAGCAGGGUUGCAGCUUCCAGGGAGCCCAACUCAUAUUCCAACCAGGCAGCAACAAAUCAUAGCCAGUUCCAUCCACUGGGCUUCCCCUUCAGGAGCUUAACAGGCUCAAAAACCAGCCUCAGAAUUUGUGCCUCUCAGUCUGCCUUGCCAUCCCAGCCAACUCUCUGAGAGUCACCAACAGGUGCUGUCACUUCUCCUGGAUGUGGAGGCUAUUCCUGGAACAGGCAGGCUUUUCUUCUUGCACAACCCACCCCAAGGGUAAUUCAUUCAUUCCCAGGGCUUGGGGGAAGCUGUGGUGCUUAUGAGGCAAAGCUUGGUCACUGUGGACCAUGACAGUGAAGUAAGUGAAUUCCUUUCAGGGACAGAGAGAACCAAUACUUUCCACCCACUUUCACUAUAAUUGGAGAGAAAAACAACCCCAGCCAAGGGGUGGGGGGGAAGAAAAGAACUACAGAGGUCACCUUCCCGAAGAGAGAUACUCUGUUGGCUGCAGGAGAGGAAUUAAAUAAAUAAAUUCUAUGUCAGUUAUUUGUUAAACAUGCAGUGGAUUACAUUGCCUGAGAUGCAGUGGUGAAUAAUACACUUGUGGCCUUGUCCACAAGGAAUAAAAUCCUCAUGCCCCAUUUGUACAUUUUUAAUGUCCCAAUAUAUAAUUAGAUUGCUAAUUAAAGGCAAUGUCCUGGUCACUGCAGAUAAAUAAACAAAAAUGACGUAUAUUUUUUCCCAGACCUUCAUCCCUUCAUGGCUAUAGCUUCUCUAGUGCUUUUCAUGAGCUCAGCCCUGCAGACAACACUGCCAACUAAUUUUAGCCUUUUUCAGACUAUCAGUGAUAUAUUAUUGGGCUGAUUUCACAGGUGAGGGGAUCAAUGCUCAGUAUCUUUUAUCCAUUCCUUCUUUCCCUCAACUGAUAUUGAGUGUCUACUAUGUGCCAGGUACUGUUCUGGGGUCUUGCCCUAGAGGUCUGGGGGCCUGCAAAGUCCCUCACCCCUAGGCAAUGCCUCUCUUCACAGAAGUUCUUUCCUCCUUGUAGAUCUGCCCCACUCCAUGCUGGAUAUGUAGGCUGAGGCUAGACGGAGGUUCACAGAGCAGGACUCAUCACCACACUGAACCCUGUUUCUAUGGUGGCAAAUGCUAUCAUGGCUUUGGGUUCCCAUUUGAGGAGCAGGACUUUGAUGUGAUUCUUUCGGCCCUCCCUUUGCUCUGAGGAGCCUGACACAUUGUCUUGAUAACCUGCUGGAUGUUCCACUGGUGCUUAAACUGAGGUGCUGUCUGGCUCUUGCCAAUCCUUGCAGGGGCUUGAUAGCUGUCCUCUCACCCUUCAGCUCCGUAUCAGGACCCAUCCACCCUUCCCCAACUUCCUGGAUGGCCUUCUCACAGAAGGGUCCUGUGUGUGGUCCCCCCAGACUCCUACUCGUAAACAAAUGUACAGAAACCUAGGUUUCAUUCCUGACUCCUCCCUCUCCUGCAUCCCAUAUGCAGUCCACAAAAACUACUGCUUAUUUCAUCCUCAAAAUGGCCCUGUAUCUAGCCAUUCUCUUUAUCUCCUGGUCCAAGGUACUGUCAUCGCUCCUUGAGCUACUAAGAUGGCCCCAGACCAAUCUCACUGUAGUCACUCAGGCACCCUCCAGUUUGUUCCCCACCUGCAGCUAGAGUGGCUUUGUUUAAACACAGAUCUGAGGACUCUUCUCCUCGCCACUCCACCAUGCUUCAACUCUUUAGUACCUUUCUCUUCUCCUUAAGAUAAAAACGAAACUCCUUAACUUUCUUUCCUUUGGUCAUUCUACCUUUUUGUUGUUGCUGGUGUUGUUUUAUUUUUUAAAUAAACAAUAAUGGGAUACUUGUAGAUUCAUAGAAAAAUUUCAAUUAUAGUACAGAUGACUCCUGGAUAUCCCUUGCCCAGUUAAUAUCUUAAAUCACUCUGGGUUGCAUUUGUCAAAACAAACAAAUUAGCACUGGUGCAUUACUAAUAACUGGACUCCAGACAUUAUUAGGAUUUCACCACAUUGCCAUUAGCCUAAUUUGGUUUUUGAUCACGGGACUAUAGUAUUUAAUGUUUGAUCUGGAUUCUUUUUUUUUUUUUUUUUGAGAUAAAAGGGCACUCUUAAUAAUUACUAGGGACCGCAGGUGUGGAUGGGAACUGCCCCAGGUCACUUUAUCUAGAAUGCAGGAGGAUGACACUCCUCUACCUUCAACUCCCCUCACAUUCUCAGUGCUCCAGACAUGCCAACCUUCUUUCACUCUUGCUACUCAUUUUCCCUUCACAUGAGCUCUUCCCACUCAUCUUCUCCUGGCCAAUGGCUAUGGACACGUUCUCACACAAAUCUUCCCUGACCUCCUGAACUAGGUCAAAUGACUGUUCUCACUUGUUUCUUAAUAUAGCAUUGCACUCUCUCCUUACCCUCCCCUCCCCUCCCCUCCCUUCCCUUCCCUUCCCUUCCCUUCCCUUCCCUUCCCUUCCCUUCCCUUCCCUUCUGUUCCAUUCCAUUGCAGUUGUACUUAGUUCUGUGAGGUUAUUUGAUUGAAUUCUACCUUCCUUGUGAGCCUGUAAGCUCCACGAGGGAAGGGGCAAUGUUUCAUUUUUCCCUCCCUUGUCUCCUCUGUGCCAAGAACACAGAGUGAGUAUUGAUAUGAAUAAUUCUUUGAUGAAUGCCUGAGCAAAUGUGCCUCUUGAUACUACAGUGCCAUUCAGUACAUGCCACAAUGUUCUCUGAAUAGCAGGCUCCACCUGCCUAACUCCAUCCUCUCCCACCAGCCUUCCCUAUGCGCUUAUAUCAUUCUAGUGGAAACAUCUAGUUUUCGGGCUUUGUCCAUGAUAGGCAUUGGAUAUAUACAUGUUCAAUGAAUAAACGUCUCUAUUUAUACACUCUUCUUUGCACCAUGAAUUAGUCAGGACUCUUCCAACUGUAAGUGACAAGUCCCUAUUCAAACUGCUUUACCAAAAACUACAUGGAAGGUGGAAGUAAGCAGUGAGUCACAUAAAAGGGAAAUAGAGGGGCUGGCUAAUUUCCAUUGUGGCCUUGAUCUGGGUACUUAGAUAGAGGCUACCAGGAGGCUAUCUCACUCCCUCUGUCCCUACUCUGCUUGCUUUUGUGUUGACUCCGUGCUCAGGCAGAUUGUUCUUGUGUGGUGAAAAUGACCAGUGGCCAUUUCAAGCUCAUAAGGUCUUUAAAAGUCAAAGCUCAGAAGAUAGUAAUGUGUUAUGCUAUCAAUAUCAAUAUCCAUUCCCAACAAAAGAUUCUGAUUUGGCCUUGCUUGGCUAACAGGUCCAUCUGUGACUCAAUCUCUGUGGCUGGGAAAGUGAUUUAUGCUAAUUGGCCAAUGGGAAUAACAUACUCAGCCCCCUGGAGCAGGAGGCCAGGACAUACGAUUCAUGGUCCUGCUGGGUGGAAAUGGGACUGGUGAAAAAUUAGAGCUGCUCACUAUAAUCCCUGGCUUCCAGAAGCCUCACAAUAAGAAAUAGAUUUCUAGCCUCUCUCUGUUACUUGUUUUCACUAAUUUAAAAUAGUUAGGUUACACGUAGCAAUAAACUUUUUUUUUUCUGAUAAACACCUUUAUUGAAGCAAAUAUUUGAUGCAGUAUGCAUUAAUGACUUGUAUGCAAAAUACCCUCAAGGUUGAUUUUUUCUUUUCUUUAAGUUAAAACCAACUUUUAACUUAAAAAUUUCUGGUCUUUGGGCUCAGUGUUCCAUAUUUUGCUUGGUAUAUUUUCUGGAAGUAGAAAGGAAAGUUAAACUACCUCUCUAGCAUCCCUUUGGAGUAAAUUUAUUUUCAAAACAUUAUUUAAAGAGAAGUUUUUUAAAAAAUAAUAUAACAAGCUGAGAAAUUCUUCUGUUUUCCAGAUUAAUCAUAGAAUGACAUGCUAUGAUUAUUUUAAUAUUCUGGUUAACUUAGAGUUACCCAAAAUACCCUUCAUGGAUAUUUUACAAAAAUAAGGCCUGAAAUUAUUUAAUCUUUAAUAUGUAAUUUCGGAGAGGCUUCAGACACAUUUAGGUUAUUUAAUUUGAGCACCACAGUCAGGCAACUGUAAAGAAAGUUUGGAUUUGUUUGUUUGUUUGUUUAGGUCAGGGGCCAGCAAGUGUUUUCUAUAAAGGACCAGAUAAUAAAUAUUUUAGACUUUGCAGGUCAUGUGUGUUUCUCUACCUUUACUCAAAAGGGUGGCGGGCCGGGCAUGGUUGCUCACACCUGUAAUCCCAGCACUUCAGGAGGCCGAGGUGGGCGGAUCAUUUUGGGGCAGGAGCUCGAGACCAGCCUGACCAACAUGGUGAAACCCCAUCUCUACUAAAAAGACAAAAAAAUUAGCCAGGCGUGGUGGCACAGGCCUGUAGCCCCAGCUACUCGGGAGGCUGAGGCAGGAGAAUUGCUUGAACCUAGGAGACGGAGGUUGCAGUGAGCCGAGAUUGCACCAGUGCACUCCAGCCUGGGAGACAGAGUGAGACUCUGUCUCAGAAAAAAAAAAAAAAAAAAAGGCGGCAAAUUGGCCAUAGACAAUAAAUGAAUGAAAUGUGUGCAGCUGUGUCCUAAUAAAAUUCUGUUUAUAGAUACAGGCAACAGGUACCCUUGGCCUGGACUAUAGUUUGCAGCCCUCUUUUAGAUUCUGCAUACGCAGAAUUUAUGGUUGUUAUCUUGUGGUCAUAAUCAAAUGUUGUGUAGGUGUUUGCAGUAUACUCUCAUAGCAUGGUUUAAGGAACAGAGUCUUGAAGAAGAAAUCAUAAACUUAAGGGGUCCUGGAUCUAUAUGCUGACUAUAGUCCAAUUACUUCUUCCCUCUAAGCCUUUAUUUUCCAAACCAUAAAUAGGGCCAUUGAAAACUGUUCUACCAAUCUUAGAGUUAUUUGGCGAAUCAAAUAAAGAAAUGUAUGAGAAAAGGAAUUGAAUACAUAGUUACUUUCUACCAUAAGGUACAAUUGAUUUAAUUUUAUGGCACAGCAAUUGUCGAAAUAUUUGAGGAAAAGGGAAAAACCAUCUGAAAAAAAUAAUACGAGUUAAGAACCCUGUAAGAAACAGAUAAACAACACGCAUAUUAAGAUCUUUUUUUUUUUUUUUUUUUUUUUGAGGUGGAGUCUUGCUCUGUCGCCAGGCUGGAGUAUGGUGGCGCGAUCUCAGCUCACUGCAACCUCCGCCUCCCAGGUUCAAGUGAUUCUCCUGUCUCAGCCUCCCAAGUAGCUGGGACUACAGGGGCCCACCACCACGCCCAGCUAGUUUUUGUAUUUUUAGUAAGAGAAGAGGUUUCACCAUGUUGGCCAGGAUUUUCUCGAUCUCCUUACCUUGUGAUCUGCCCACCUCAGCCUCCCAAACUGCUGGGAUUACAGGCGUGAGCCACUGCACCUAGCCUUAAGGUCAUUUUUGUAGGGUUUUACAUAAGGACUAUUCAGAAAGAUAAGGACAAAAUAUGAGGGUAGUGCAGUAAUGUGGGAGGAGCAACCUCAGAACUUACUGACCUGAGACCCAGAAGGAAGAAGGAAGGUAGGAAGCUGCCACAAGAACAGCUGUGCCCUUCAGUCCAGGGACACAACUAAAGUGACCCUGGGACACAAAUAUCCUGCCUGCAUCCUCCUUCUUCCCUCUUCUCUGCUGAUUGAUGCCUCCAACUGGUUGAACCCAACCAGAACCCAUUCCAAGCAGGUCAGUGUCCCUGGGCAGACAGCAAGGUGAACAGUAGUUGAGAGGGGACAUGAAGGUACAGACAGAAGCAAUCCAAAGUGACAUAACACGUAUAUAUUCUCGGCAAGCCUACACAUGGCUUAUCAGUGAUAUUUUGCAUGUUGCAUUUCUCUCCUUUUUCUUUGUUGGCAUGUUUAUUUGUUGUAAAGCAUCAUUGUAACUAAAGCCUGUUGGUAAACUUACACAGAUUAAAGCAAAGUCCAGAAUAGUUUGGCACUAAAUAAAAAUCGCCUAUAGAGAAACUAAAACUUGGGUGAAAAUAAAAAUGGGAUAAAAUGCUGCCUGCUACUUGUUCUUUACCUUCUCAUUGAAUUGGCAUUUUCUAUUACAGUAUACUAAUAUAUUUAUGCUGAAGUGAAAGGGGAACUCUGGUAAAAGUCAUGAUAGGCUAUUAUAAAUGCUUAGCCCAGUGAGUAAAAAAUAUUCCAACAAAACAAAACAAAAACUCUCACCAAAAGAAAGAAAAACUACCUUAGUUACUAGCAAGACAGUUUGACCAGUGUGCAUGUUUAGACUUAUUUUAUCAUGUCUGUUAAACUAAUCCAAACUCAAGUAACCAGCAUUUUCACGUUGCUUUAAAGAACAUAGUCAAAUUUUCAGAGAAAGAAGCUAAUUUUUUAAAAGCCUACAUUAAAAAUUGAUUUUGGAAAGCCUGACAACUUCCAUGAUAUGGUUUAGGAUGAGCUCUUGCUCGUCUCUGCCUGUCAUGCUUUCAAGUCUAUGCCAGAGUCCAGCAUUGGGUUGGAGGAAGGAUCUGUCACUUUGGAGAUCCCUGCAAACCCAGAGAUAUUAUCAAGCCUCGAUUGAAGAUGGAAAUCAUGACCUUGGGCAUUGUGAAGACCUGAUUAACCAGAACACAGUUCACCUUGAUUGAGUGUAUGUAACCAAAGCAGGAAAGUGGGCUAUUAUAUUCCAACAAUAAAGGAGAAAACAAGAGUGCUUCCUGGUCAACUCUCAAUUUGCAGAAUAUUUGAAUAACUCAGAUCCUACCCUCCCUGAGCAUUUUGAUUAAAGACAGCUCCUUGCACAUGUCUUCUCAUUCUUUUCAGCAUUUCAGAGGGAGCUCCGAUAUUUCCAAUUCCUGAUCAUUCUAAUGAAAGUAAGGUUGUUAUAGGCAUAUAGGUAUAGGUACAUUGUAUAGAUAUACCCUAUACAUCUUAUUUUCAUUUGCAAUUAUUCUUAGUUGUUGGUUUACUUGAUUUUGUGGUUUGUUUACCCCAUUUGAUUAUGAAUUUGUGACUUGUUCCCCAUUGUAUUUCUUAUGCUUAGCACAGUGCGUGACACAGAGUGGAUGCUCAAUAGAUAUCCUUUGAAUGAAUGAAUGAAUGAAUGAAUGAAUAUCUAACCCAUAGGGAAAGGGACAGUAAACCUGGCAGGCUGGUGAUACACACAAAGGUAGAGUAAUUGCUAGGCUUGUCUGAAUGUCUGUCUUAAUGUAGUCUCGAAAGAAACUGGGCUUUAUUACUGACGUGCUUUCUUCAUUAUCAUAGACAAUGGAGGCUGCUGUGAAACAUGGCUUGUGAAAAGAAUACAUAUGUCAAGCUCUAAAAUAUGCAGUGCCACAAAUCAUGAGGAUUGACGUGUAGACAGAAUCUAUGUAAAUGAAUCACUGAUCAAAGAUAGACUUGUUAGGAAAGCAGACUUUCCAUGACACUAGUCUAUACAUUUCUGAGGUUUUCACUGAAUUAUUCAUUUAUAGAAAGUGUUCAUGGGUCUUGGCAUUUACUUUUAAGAAAAGUAUAUAAGAAAGAGAUAGUCUUUGGUGAUAUCUUUUCAAACACACUCUUUUCUUAAGGGUGGGAUUUAUGACAUUUUGGGAUAAGACAAUUUGACGUACAUUAUUUAAGCAAAUGGGUUAUUGAAUCAAACUGCUGGGUUUCAACUUCAGGUGCUUACUUAUUAUGUAACCUCACAAAGCCUCAGAUUUCUCAAUAGUAAAAUUGGGAGGAUAAUAUAACAAUAGCAUUUAUCUGAUGUGUGUGUGUGUCUUUGUGUGUGUGUGUGUGUGUAUGUGUGUGUGUCAGACAGCACUGAUGUAAUCUACGUAAAAGUACUUAGCACAUUAUUUAUUCUCACAUGAUGCACUUUUAUUUAGAUUUAAUUACAUGAAAUUGUUUCCUAAGUUUGCUAAAACAAAUCUCUUUGUACAAACAUAUUUCCCUUACAUUUAUAUCUUAUUUAUUUUUGCUCCUUCCCUAAUUUACCCCAAAGUGCAGCCACUACCUUCACUGUUUUGGAGACAGAAAGCCACUGUCUCAGAAAAUUGAAGACAAAGCACCUCAUGUGUGUGCUGGUGGUGGAGUGUAGGUGAGUGAUCGAUUUAAGGAAUGACCCCAUCCGAUAAAACCACUGUAGUCUUUUAGAUUUGUUGUCAUCUUAGGAAACACAGAAUCUACCACCAGCAGCGAUUGUAUGUGUAAUAGUUUGAUAGCAGUACUGGCUACAACACUUCAGCUAGCUCUGAAAACAUUCUUUUUGCCAUGCGACUUUACACAGCCUCUUAUGCAACAGGCAGAGUCUGUUAUGUUAGACAAGCAUCUUAUUUUGAACAAAAGGAUGUUAUCAGACAUGACUCUUUAGAAACCUGAGAAAGUUCUUAUACAUUUCUGCUUCCCUUCUUGUUCCUCUGUCCUCGCAUGAGAACAUGCACAGAGUUGAGAAUUGGGAAGCAGAGCUGAGUCUUUCUGGUUGCCCCAGCCUAAGCCAGCCUAGAUCAGCCAAUUCAUGGUCAGUGGCCCCCCAGACAUGGUGAACCCAGCUGAGCCCAGGAGAAUGUGCAGGCUUAUCCUGUCUGAACUGCCCAUGUGAAGACUCCUGUGCCAAAUAACCACUUUGUUUUAAGCCACUGAGUGUUGGGAUAGUUGGUUACUUGGCAUUAUUGUGACAAUGUAUAACUGAUAUUGAACAUGAGCUGAAUAGUGUCAUGGGACUCUUUGUGGAAUCUCUCUAAUGUAUAACUAAUCAUAUCGUGUUCAUACUUAAAUGGCCGUACUUUAGUUAGGCUCUAUUUCAUCAGCCUCAUCUUUUCUCCCCCUAGAACCCCAAAACUAUACUUUUUUAAAAUUGUACUUGUAUUUCUGAGGACUGCAUAUUAUCUCAGUCUUGGGCCUUGGUUGAGCCAAUUGGCCAGACUUCUUCCACUCCCAGCAAAGUCGGUUUCUAUUUGUCCUUUGGUUCUUAUUUUAGGAAUCAUCUCCUUUGGAAAAAUCUACUUAGCCUUGCUAAGAAAAGGUUGGGUGACUCUCCUUUGGGUGCCCAUAACAUUCUGGUACUUAAGAUUUUGGCAUUAUAUCACUUUCUGAGUACUUAGUAUAUGUUGGCAUUAUGACCUCUUUUGGGGCUUUUCUCACUGGACUCCCUGUUCUUGGAGGGCCAAGAACAUGUGUUUUGGGUUUUGUGAAGCAAUGCCUCUCUAGCAUAAAGCUCAGUGUCUGGCAUGCAGUGUGCGCUCAACUAAUAGAUAUAAAAGAAAUGAAUGUAGAUGUUAAAUUCAUGGGCAAAUGGGGAAAGGAUGAUAUUGUGAGGGUCCCCUGUCCCAGAAUAAAGAUAAGUAGAAUAAAGGGAAAGGAGAAUAUUAGAUCCAUCUGUAACUUGGGAAUGUUGAAACUACUUAGAAUGGUUUCUACACUGUAGACCUUUUGUAUAAACUUCAAGGAAAGAUCAACACCAACCCAACUGCUGAAAUAAAAUUAGAAUUAUUGGUUUAUAAGUAAGCCACUCUUUCUAAAGAGGGUGAUCCAAAUAGCAUCUGCCAAAUAGGCAUGUGGACUGGACUUCAAUUUCUUCCCUAAGCAAGUUAAAUAAAAAUUGUAAAAAGACCCUGUUUAGAAUUUCUUUUACAAAGAGCCACUUACAAUUUUGGGGUAUUAUUUUAGGCAUUGAAUAUGCAGUUUUAAAAACAAACAAAAUGAAGGGCACAAUCUUUUGGCAGUAAAGAUAGGUUCCUAUGUUACCAGGAGAAUUCAUGAGCAAGGGAUGUAGAAAUUUAUAAUCUCAUGGUUAUAGGAUUCUAGACAAGGAGUAAACCUUUGGGAUUUGCUAACCCAGUGUGUUCUGCAAACUAGUGGAACACAGGUUUGACAUCCUAGGUCCACUCUUACUUCCACUCCAUCUUCUUCUGGGCUUUCCUUUGGCUUCCCACACUUCUGUUUUCUAGAGUAUAUACACCAUCAAAAUUUAAAUUUUAACCCACGGCUUUAGUUUACCUUUCCUCACUUUAUAAAUAAAGACAAAAAUUCCCUGAAGUCAUGAUUGCCUGAGUUAACCCAAAUGGUAAUGCAGAAGGUAAAAUCUACUUCUGGAAACUCGUGGUACACUUGGUGAUUUUUUUCACUGUGAUGCACUCUCUUUGACCCUUUUCCUCACACAUUCCAUUGGGUUGUGCAGAAUCUGCAUGGCUGGAAUGAAUACAAGUUGAAGGGGAAGUUAAAUCCGUCUAAACUUUAAAAUGUAGAGAAGAUUUAACAUCCUUAUGUCCUUUGGAACGUUAUGGUGCAUUCAUGGUUCACGCAGUCAGUAAACUAAAGGUCGGGCUUCAGUUGGUAUUCAGCAUAGUGUGUCGUAACAUUGACAGGCUAUAUUUAUACAGUGGUGCUGAAAGAUUAAAAUAAAUAUAUAUCAAUGUUGAUCCUAACAAAUGUAUGCAUUGCAGCUGAUAGAGUUACCAUCAGUUUUUGAGUUUGUAAUUGUUUACCCAUAUGUUGCCAAUGGCAGUUUUUCCAAAAUAUAAUAAUUUGGCACUUCAUUCUGUAGUUUUUUUUGGAGAACUAAAAAAUAACAUUUAAUAUUGGUACACCAUGAUUUCUAGACUACAUUUGUGAGGGGAAAAAUAGAGACCUGGCUUUCAAUCAGUUCUCUAACCAGUUUUAUGAGAAUUCCAUCUCUACCAGUCUCUCUGGCUACAAUUUUUGCUCCUCCAAGUGCUAAGGAAAAAAAUAGUUUGUACUCUCUGCUUUCUCACAAGAGAAAAUGGCAUGGACCUAGGGUCUUUAGAAUAAUUUGUUACUCCUACCUCAGCUCUGUGCCCACAUUUCUCUUGCCCUUUGAGCAAUGGGGACUCCAAUCUCCUUCCAACAAGACUCAAUUCAUAAUUUUCUUUUCUUUUUCCUUUUUUUUUUUUUUUGAGACAGAGUCUUGCUCUGUCACCCAGGCUGGAGUGCAGUGGUGUGAUCUCAGCUCACUGCAACCUCUGCCUCCCGGGUUCAAGCCAUUCUCCCGCCUCAGCCUCCCGAGUAGCUGGGAUUACAGGCGCCCAACACCAUGCCUGGCUAAUUUUUGUAUUUUUUAGUAGAGAUGGGGUUUCACCAUGUUGGCUAGGCUGGUCUUGAACUCCUGACCUCAAGUGAUCCACCUGCCUCGGCCUCCCAAAGUGCUGGGAUUACAGGCAUAAGCCACCACACCUGGCCUCAUAAUUUUCUUUCUAUUCACAUCUCCAAGGGUAAUGAAAUGUUUCCUACACUUCUGUUAAAAAGAACUUCUGCCAUGAGAAAGAAUUCUCUCUCUCAGAAUGGUGGUUCUUUUGGUUCAACUCAUAUGAUCCCAUCAGUCCUAAAAUGAUUGCCUUGAUAUAUCCGGUUUGGAACUCUUUCAGAUGAGGUCAUUGACAAAAGAGCACAUCUGGUAGCUAUUCAGGGCAGCUCCACUGGAUCCUGCUCCCCAUGACACAUGUCUGGUGUCUCACAGCUGUGCACGCAUCCUUCCUAUUCUCUCUUCAUCCUUGCCUCUCCAGGGAACCCUCCUGAGGAGCUGAAAGACAACCUUUGGCUUAUCUUGUUUGCAUUGAAUCUUUACUCUAAUGGUCAGGGAACAUUCCUCCUUCCAAGCAGCUGAGUAUAUUUCAUGCAAAUUGCACUUCUGGUACUUUUCACUGACAGUCAAGAGCUUCUGAGAUCCUUCUCUGUUCUUCUGUACAGGUGUCUUUUUUUUUUUUUAACCCCAGGUUCAUUGCCUACAUUGAUAUUUUAAUAAUGUUACAGAUAAUGAUAAACACAUACUUAAAUUAGAUAUACACAUAUGAUUGUAUGGGAGGGCUCUGUAGGCCAACAUAAGGACAGUAACCAUUCAGUAGAUUCCCCAUCUUUAGGUUUAUCAAGAGAUUUGAAGUUGCUAUCUGGGGGACUUACUCAUAUUGUCUUUGACAAUCUCUUUCUAGACUGUUUCUACAGUCUAACAUCCUACAGUUUUGUUCCCUUACUAUCUAUACUUUAUUACUCCCUAUAUUCAAUUGUAGUAGGCACUUUUUUUUUUUUUUUUUUUUUUUGCCUUUACUCAUGCUGCUCCCACCCUGGGAUUCCUGUCCUGGGUUUUUCACUUAUUAGUGUCUUCAGGAGAUAUGAGAAAGCACUCCCCAUGUCUCAAUCAGAAGUCAUUACUUCCUUCUUUGUACUCCCAGUGCACAUUGCUGACAUUGCUGAGAGGUCAUUGGUCCCAUCAUUUACUGCUAUUUCUGUUGGGUGUAUACGAAUAUUUAUAAUAUAUAUGUGUAUGUAUGUUCGAUAUUAUAUAUUUGUAUUAUGUAUUUAUGUAAUAUUAUCACAGAUUCACACAGGGUGUUAAAAAUAGGAGAUUCUCAAUAACUACUAAACCAAUGGAUAUUUUGUGUGAGUAACUGAACACAUGAUUUUCUUGUAAACCAAUUUGAUUUUAUUCUUUUAAUGAUUAACUUUAAAAUGAACAGAGGUAACUAUUUUGAACAACUAACUGCUGUUGACCAUGAUUCUGAUGAAAGUAACCUAUGUCUUCUAGAAGUUUAGAUUCAUUCUGAAUUGCCUAAACACAUUUUUAACAAGAGUGUCCAAUCUGGACCUACAUAGUACACAAGUAAAAGGAAAAUAGCACAGGCUCUCGGCGAUAAAGCUUCAAGGUGAAUUUAUGAGUGUUCAGGGGAAGUUUUCUCCUUCACUUCCAAAUGUACUGUCCCAAUUUGACCAAAUAUUUGCAUAGUAUGUUGUACAAAUAUAUAAAGUACCCUUUCAUUUUGUACUUUCAAUGCUUGUGUCACAUAGCACCAUAAUAUGAAAAAGAGGACAAGUGAAUCCCUGAACAGAAACAAAAAUGUUUUUAUGUCACCAAGAACUAUGUCCUUCCUCUUUAAUAACAAAAAAAAGGAAACACACACACACACACACACACACACACACACACCCCAAAAAGAGAUCAGGAAGACUCCAUCUAUGAUGGUGUAAUUUUUGUGCUGACGUGUUGGGCAAAAAGAAAAUCACUGUCAGCCUCCUGACUUUCACCUGCUAAACACACAACCACAGGCGCUAAGAAACCUAGGAAAGCACUUUCAUCAGCAAAAGUUUGUCUCCCCCAGCUACUUGGUAACUUCCUGAGUCCUCUGUGCCUCUGUCAGUUGCUCCAGGAGACCCAGGGCAAGGUAGAUAAAAGUCAUUAAUUAGGAAAAGUAAUGGAGAAAUCAUCCACAAUGAGCAUCUAGUGAAUUGUUUUCAUCACAAUCUGAACUGCAAAGAGAUCAGAGUACAGGACAGUGACACGCCAUUGUGGAAUCCAAGUGGGCUCAGGUGUGUUAGAUGUUAGUUUGUGAAAAAAUAUUUGCUUAUCAGCAAUGUCAGAAUAAAGAGGUAUAAAUAUUUAUUUGAAGUUUAAAAUCCACAUUUCAAUUAUUUAUCCUACUUGAGUCUCAGUUAUCCUAAUCUAGAAAAUGGGAUAAUAAUAACUACACUAUAGAGUUAUUAUGAUAAUUAAAUAAGAUAAUAUAUGAAAUGCUUGGCAUGGCACUUUGGGUAUCAUGAAUUCUCAGCCAUGUCAGUUCUCCUAAUAACAAUAGUAAUAUUUAUUCAGAACUUAUUAGUGCAGUUGCGAUUUUAAGGAAUUCAUAUGGAUUAGCUCAUUUUGUCCUCUUAAUAAACUCUAUCAGGCCCUCCAAAUGUUAAAUAUAACACAAAAAGUUUAGUUAAAGCUUUACCAGAUGAUUACUAAUAUAGUAUAUAUAAAG
rnacentral:lncRNA from 1 species